GAUAAACGCUGGCGGCGUGCAUUACCAAUGCGAGUCGAACGCACUUCUCCUUCGGGGGGAGUGAGUGGCAUCCGGGUGAGUAACACGUAGGUGACCUACCCAAGUGUGGGGGAUACCCACCCGAAAGGGUGGCUAAUACCGCAUAGGCUCUGUCCUGACAGGGGCAGAGGAAAGCUCGUCUCGAAAGAGGGGAGCGCGCUUGGAGGGGCCUGCGGCCUAUCAGCUUGUUGGUGGGGUAACGGCCUACCAAGGCGGCGACGGGUAGCCGGUCUGAGAGGACGAACGGCCACAGUGGGACUGAGAGAUGGUCCACAGCUCUACGGGGUUUAGCAUGGAGGAAUCUUGCGCAACGGUCGAAGGAUCGGCGCAGCAACGCCGCGUGGGGGAUGACGCGUUUCGGCGUGUAAACCCCUGUUGUUCGGGAAGAAGUACCUAGGGGGAGGACCUCUAGGGAAGACGGUACCGGACGAGGAAGCCCCGGCUAACUACGUGCCAGCAGCCGCGGUAAUACGUAGGGGGCGAGCGUUAUCCGGAUUUAUUGGGCGUAAAGGGCGCGCAGGCGGCCACGGGCAGUGGCGUGUGGAAUCUCCCCGCUCAACGGGGAGGGGUCACGCCAGACGACGUGGCUUGGGGCAGGCAGAGGCGCACGGAACGGGCGGAGUAGGGGUGAAAUCCGUAGAGACCGUCCGGAACACCAGAGGCGAAGGCGGUGCGCUGGGCCUGGUUCGAAAGAACGUCCGCAAGGAUCCCGACGCUCAGGCGCGAAAGCGUGGGGAGCGAACGGAAUUAGAUACUCCGGUAGUCCACGCCCUAAACGAUGGCCACUCGGUGUCGGGGGUAUCGACCCCCUCGGUGCCUCAGCUAACGCGGGAAGUGGCCCGCCUGGGGACUACGGCCGCAAGGCUAAAACUCAAAGGAAUUGACGGGGGCCCGCACAAGCAGCGGAGCGUGUGGAUUAAUUCGAUGCAACGCGCAGAACCUUACCUGGGCUUGACAUGCACGUGGUAGGAACCCGAAAGGGAACCGACCCGCAAGGGAGCGUGCACAGGUGCUGCAUGGCUGUCGUCAGCUCGUGCCGUGAGGUGUUGGGUUAAGUCCCGCAACGAGCGCAACCCCCGUCCCUAGUUGCCGUUUCUAGGGAGACUGCCGGGCGAACCCCGGAGGAAGGUGGGGAUGACGUCAAGUCCGCAUGGCCCUUACGUCCAGGGCGUCACACACGCUACAAUGGCCAGUACAGUGGGCUGCAAGUGGGCGACCACAAGCUAAUCCCCCAAAGCUGGCCUCAGUCCGGAUUGCAGGCUGCAACUCGCCUGCAUGAAGUCGGAGUUGCUAGUAACCACGCGUCAGCACAGUGCGGUGAAUGCGUUCCCGGGCCUUGUACACACCGCCCGUCACACCACGAAAGCUGGCAAGACUCGAAGGCGUCGGGCCAACCUCCCUCGGGAGGAGGCAGGCGACGAGAGUCGGGUCGGUGAUUGGGGUG
rnacentral:rRNA from 1 species